rnacentral:rRNA from 1 species
UACAGAGGGUGCAAGCGUUAAUCGGAUUUACUGGGCGUAAAGGGCGCGUAGGCGGCAUGUUAAGUCAGCUGUGAAAUCUCCGAGCUUAACUCGGAACGGUCAGCUGAUACUGAUGUGCUAGAGUGCGGAAGGGGCAAUCGGAAUUCUUGGUGUAGCGGUGAAAUGCGUAGAUAUCAAGAGGAACACCUGAGGUGAAGACGGGUUGCUGGGCCGACACUGACGCUGAGUGCGCGAAAGCCAGGGGAGCAAACGGG